rnacentral:tRNA from 1 species
AGAAACUUAGGAUCAAACCUGCAUCAAACCAAGGGCCUUCAAAGCCCUAAAUAAGAGAUAAAACCUCUUAGUUUCUG